CAUAUAGCACUUUUGGUUUGAUUAUAGAGAAGGGAAUAGGAAUCAUGAUUCAGAUUCCUUUCCCUUCCUCCAAUCCCACAUUGCGUAUGCCUAUUGUUGUCUUUCUCCUCCUUAGCCUUUGCUUCAUCCCCGNNNNNNNNACCCUAUACGAUUGCACACCGAUCACGACAUUGAUGAGGCCGAUUCCCCACACGGGUCAGCC
rnacentral:misc_RNA from 1 species